rnacentral:rRNA from 1 species
AACGAACGCUGGCGGCAUGCCUAACACAUGCAAGUCGAACGAGACCUUCGGGUCUAGUGGCGCACGGGUGCGUAACGCGUGGGAACCUGCCCUUAGGUUCGGAAUAACUCCCCGAAAGGGGUGCUAAUACCGGAUAAUGUCUUCGGACCAAAGAUUUAUCGCCUUUGGAUGGGCCCGCGUUGGAUUAGCUAGUUGGUAGGGUAAAAGCCUACCAAGGCGACGAUCCAUAGCUGGUCUGAGAGGAUGAUCAGCCACACUGGGACUGAGACACGGCCCAGACUCCUACGGGAAGCAGCAGUGGGGAAUAUUGGACAAUGGGCGAAAGCCUGGUCCAGCAAUGCCGCGUGAGUGAUGAAGGCCUUAGGGUUGUAAAGCUCUUUUACCCGGGAUGAUAAUGACAGUACCGGGAGAAUAAGCUCCGGCUAACUCCGUG